GCGCCCUUAGCUCAGUUGGAUAGAGCAACGACCUUCUAAGUCGUGGGCCGCAGGUUCGAAUCCUGCAGGGCGCACCA
rnacentral:tRNA from 21 species